rnacentral:rRNA from 1 species
GUGGGGAAUAUUGGACAAUGGGGGGAACCCUGAUCCAGCCAUGCCGCGUGUGUGAAGAAGGCCUUUUGGUUGUAAAGCACUUUAAGCGAGGAGGAGGCUACCGAGAUUAAUACUCUUGGAUAGAGGACGUUACUCGCAGAAUAAGCACCGGCUAACUCUGUGCCAGCAGCCGCGGUAAUACAGAGGGUGCAAGCGUUAAUCGGAUUUACUGGGCGUAAAGCGCGCGUAGGUGGCCAAUUAAGUCAAAUGUGAAAUCCCCGAGCUUAACUUGGGAAUUGCAUGCGAUACUGGUUGGCUAGAGUAUGGGAGAGGAUGGUAGAAUUCCAGGUGUAGCGGUGAAAUGCGUAGAGAUCUGGAGGAAUACCGAUGGCGAAGGCAGCCAUCUGGCCUAAUACUGACACUGAGGUGCGAAAGCAUGGGGAGCAAACAGGAUUAGAUACCCCUGUAGUCC